CCGAACCGACUAAUGUUGAAAAAUUAGCGGAUGACCUGUGGCUGGGGGUGAAAGGCCAAUCAAACCGGGAGAUAGCUGGUUCUCCCCGAAAGCUAUUUAGGUAGCGCCUCGUGAAUUCAUCUCCGGGGGUAGAGCACUGUUUCGGCUAGGGGGCCAUCCCGGCUUACCAACCCGAUGCAAACUGCGAAUACCGGAGAAUGUUAUCACGGGAGACACACGGCGGGUGCUAACGUCCGUCGUGAAGAGGGAAACAACCCAGACCGCCAGCUAAGGUCCCAAAGUCAUGGUUAAGUGGGAAACGAUGUGGGAAGGCCCAGACAGCCAGGAUGUUGGCUUAGAAGCAGCCAUCAUUUAAAGAAAGCGUAAUAGCUCACUGGUCGAGUCGGCCUGCGCGGAAGAUGUAACGGGGCUAAACCAUGCACCGAAGCUGCGGCAGCGACACUGUGUGUUGUUGGGUAGGGGAG
rnacentral:rRNA from 1 species